rnacentral:sRNA from 1 species
CCCUAGCCCUGAUAGAAGCUGUAUGCUUUUGUGCCGGGGUUCGGCGCAAAAGAUACAAGUGGAUAGCAGGAAAUAGC